rfam:Globodera pallida, Lindley, WGS project CBXT01000000 data, contig: pathogens_Gpal_scaffold_228_contig_15
GUCGGCUACGGCGACCUCGUGCCGCACGGCGUGUACGGCAAAAUUGUGGGCUCAUGUUGCGCAUUGAUCGGCGUGCUGACGCUGGCACUUCCCGUGCCUAUCAUUGUAAUGAAA